AUGGGUUCUAAGUAUCAUCUCUUUAGGUUACCAUCUAGAGUUCACGGAAUAUCCUCCUCUAGGACGGACAGAGUAUACUACAUUCGACCCUGUCCUAGAGGAGGAGGUUCAUUCUUUAUUGCAAAAAGGUGCCAUUCAAAAGGUACCAAAAAGGGACAUUGCAAACGGCUUCUAUUCAAGAUAUUUUGCAGUCACCAAAAAGGAUGGAGGGAUGAGACCCAUCCUCGACCUCAGACAACUGAAUACUUACCUGCGCCCUCGCCGCUUCCGGAUGGUCACGUUGGAAUCCAUUAUGCACCUAUUAAAAGAAAACAAUUGGUUUAUAGUCAUCGAUUUAAAAGACGCUUACUUUCAUAUCACGAUUCACCCCGAUCAUCGCAAAUUCCUCCGGUUCAUCUUUCAGGACACUAUCUGUCAGUACCUUGCCCUCCCGUUCGGGUUGGCAACAGCACCCCGUACUUUUACGAAAUGUAUGGCCCCGGUGGCGGCCUACCUCAGGCUCAACGGAGUGCAUGUUUUCCCCUACAUAGACGACUGGCUAGUGGUCUCGACCUCCAGGAAAAAGGCUAUACAAGACACAGAGUUCACCCUUCAUGUCCUAAACAUUUUGGGCCUGCAGGUGAACUACAAGAAGUCACAUCUCACGCCUUCCAGGGUGGUGAAUUAUAUCGGUGCCACAAUAGAUGCCCGCAAGGGAAGAAUCUUCCUCCCAAUGGACAGAAUUGUCAAGAUCCAAAGAGCAAUAACGAAGUUUCGACCGAACCACACAGUGUCAGCCAAACUUGCUCAACAUCUGCUGGGGCUUAUGUCAUCAACCACCCCAGCAUUAGCUCAUGCUCGUCUCAAGCUGAGGUCCCUGCAAGCUUGGCUCCUGUCUCUAUUCAGCCCUCUUCACGACCAUCACAAGAAGCGUCUUCUUGUUACACCGGAACUAGCCUUGCAACUUCAAUGGUGGAACUACGUACCGCACCUACAGGUCGGUCGGCCCUUUCGUCCCCUCCGUCUCACUAUCCAAGUCACAACAGACGCCAGCCCCACCGGCUGGGGGGCACAUUGUGGUCCGCAUCGUGUCCAUGCCCUUUGGUCACCGCGACAGCGGGCACUACAUAUCAAUCAUUUAGAGAUACUAGCUGUUUUCAAGGCGCUCAAAGCUUUCCUUCCCCUGGUGCGAGGUCGUGGAGUCCAAAUUGUCACGGACAACACCACGGCACUCCACUACAUAAACAAACAGGGAGGCACGCGUUCCCAGUCCUUGCUGUUCCUGACAGUAACUCUAUGGGAAUGGUGCUACAAGCAGCACGUAUUUCUGAGAGCAAUCCACGUAUCAACCACCGAAAACAUGGUUGCAGACGAACUGAGCCGAACCAUGAACCAGAUGCACGAAUGGGAGCUAAACAACUCAGUCUUCCGUCAGCUUUGCCAUCAAUGGGGCAAUCCCGAAAUAGACCUGUUUGCCACUCAACAGAAUGCCAAAUGUCCUCUCUACGCAUCCAGAGCAGGAAGGGGACAGAACUCAAUAGGGGAUGCCUUCAUGGUCUCAUGGAGGAACCGUCUGCUUUACCUGUUUCCUCCAUUUCCGCUAAUUCAAAAAACGUUGGUACAACUACGGUAUCAUUCAGCGGAGGCGAUCCUAGUUACACCUUUAUGGCCUCGCCAGCCGUGGUUUCCGACUCUCAUGGGCAUGGCAAUAGACUCUAUGAAACUGCCCAACUUUCCAACCUUACUUACACAGGAUGCAGGCAAGAUCUGUCACCCAGAUUUGAACACACUGCACCUCACGGCGUGGAGGAUAUCCCCGAGAUCAAAGAGAUAUUAGACAAUUCCAAAAAACCGGCCACCUCCACGUUAUAUUCUCAUAAAUGGAAAAGUUUCCUUAAGUUUACAGAGUCCAGAGGACUUCAGGCCUCGCCAGCGUCUCUUUCCACUACGUUACAGUUCCUUCGUCACUUGUUUGAUUUCAAGUUAUCAGUCUCUACGUUGAAAGUCUACUUAGCCGCUAUUGUUUCAUUCCAGCCCAGGGACUCUCCUUCCUCUCGAUUCUUUUCUCAUCCCACGGUUAAAGCCUUUCUCAGAGGAAUUACACACCUGCGUCCACCGGUGAAGCCUAUAGUACCCCAGUGGUCCUUACAUAUGGUUCUCAACGCGCUAAUGCACCCUCCUUUUGAACCUCUGGCUACCUGCUCACUUAAACUGUUGUCUCUUGAAGUUUUGUUUCUCGUUGCCAUCACAUCUGCCCGUAGAGCCAGUGAGUUGGCUGCAUUAAGAGCCGACCAACCUUUCCUCCAAUUUUUCAAGGAUAAGGUCAUUCUGCAUACCGAUAUUUCCUUUCUUCCCAAGGUCGUUUCUGAGUUUCACUUGAAUCAACCAUUAAUACUUCCUACAUUAUUCUCUCAGCCUACCAACGAUACCGAACGCAUGCUCCAUACCCUCGAUGUCAGGAGGGCACUUUCCUUUUAUGUUGCCCGUACCAAGGAAUUUCGCUUAUCUCCAAAGCUUUUCCUCUGUUAUUUUGGACGUAAAAAGGGCCUUCCGGUCUCUCCUUCCUCAAUAUCCCGAUGGCUGGUUACUACAAUAUCUUUAGCCUAUCAGCUUCAGCAGCAAUCCCCUCCUGAUGGCCUUCGCGCACAUUCCACCAGGGCAGUGGCUUCUUCAACAGCACUCUUACGAGGGAUUGAUUUAUCUGACAUAUGCAGGACAGCGACAUGGUCCAGAGUGUCCACAUUCAUCUCUCAUUACCGGCUGGACACGAGAGCUAAAAGAGAAACAAGGUUUGGUAGAGCUGUCCUAGCAUCUGCCCUUCAGUGA
ensembl:lncRNA